rnacentral:rRNA from 1 species
GACAGAGGUGCCAAGCGUUAGGCGGAAUCACUGGGCUUAAAGCGUGUGUAGGCGGAUCGUUAAGUACCUUGUGAAAUCCCACGGCUCAACCGUGGAACUGCUGGGUAUACUGGCGAUCUUGAGCCACCUAGGGGCGAGCGGAACAAGCGGUGGAGCGGUGAAAUGCGUAGAUAUGACAUAGAACACCAAUUGCGAAGGCAGCUGGCUACACAAAUAUUGACACUGAGGCACGAUAGCGUGGGGAUCAAACAGG